rnacentral:rRNA from 1 species
ACGGAGGGGGCAAGCGUUGUUCGGAAUCAUUGGGCGUAAAGGGCGUGUAGGCGGCCGAUCAAGUCGGGUGUGAAAUCCCUCGGCUCAACCGAGGAACUGCACUCGAUACUGGUUGGCUAGAGUUCGGGAUGGGGUGGCGGAAUUCCCAGUGUAGCGGUGAAAUGCGUAGAUAUUGGGAAGAACACCGGUAGCGAAGGCGGCCACCUGGACCGAUACUGACGCUGAGGCGCGAAAGCCAGGGGAGCGAAUGGGA